AGUGAACGCUGGCGGCAGGCCUAACACAUGCAAGUCGAACGGCAGCACAGUAAGAGCUUGCUCUUACGGGUGGCGAGUGGCGGACGGGUGAGGAAUACAUCGGAAUCUACUAUUUCGUGGGGGACAACGAAGGGAAACUUACGCUAAUACCGCAUACGAUCUACGGGUGAAAGCAGGGGAGCUUCGGACCUUGCGCGAUUGAAUGAGCCGAUGCCGGAUUAGCUAGUUGGCGGGGUAAAGGCCCACCAAGGCGACGAUCCGUAGCAGGUCUGAGAGGAUGAUCCGCCACACUGGAACUGAGACACGGUCCAGACUCCUACGGGAGGCAGCAGUGGGGAAUAUUGGGCAAUGGGCGAAAGCCUGAUCCAGCCAUACCGCGUGGGUGAAGAAGGCCUUCGGGUUGUAAAGCCCUUUUUUUGGGGAAGAAAAACAGCGUGUUAAAACCCCGCUGUUCUGACGGUACCCAAAGAAUAAGCACCGGCUAACUUCGUG
rnacentral:rRNA from 1 species